GAUGAACGCUAGCUACAGGCUUAACACAUGCAAGUCGAGGGGAAACGACAUCGAAAGCUUGCUUUUGAUGGGCGUCGACCGGCGCACGGGUGAGUAACGCGUAUCCAACCUGCCCACCACUUGGGGAUAACCUUGCGAAAGUAAGACUAAUACCCAAUGAUAUCUCUAGAAGACAUCUGAAAGAGAUUAAAGAUUUAUCGGUGAUGGAUGGGGAUGCGUCUGAUUAGCUUGUUGGCGGGGUAACGGCCCACCAAGGCUACGAUCAGUAGGGGUUCUGAGAGGAAGGUCCCCCACGUUGGAACUGAGACACGGUCCAAACUCCUACGGGAGGCAGCAGUGAGGAAUAUUGGUCAAUGGGCGAGAGCCUGAACCAGCCAAGUAGCGUGCAGGAUGACGGCCCUAUGGGUUGUAAACUGCUUUUAUAAGGGAAUAAAGUGAGCCUCGUGAGGCUUUUUGCAUGUACCUUAUGAAUAGGACCGGCUAAUUCCGUGCCAGCCGCCGCCGUAA
rnacentral:rRNA from 1 species